AACGCGUCUGACUACGGAUCAGAAGAUUCCAGGGCCGUGGUGCUGAGGCGACGCUGCUCAAGGUGGAUCCGGAGCCCCGCGGCUUCGGAAGCUGAGACACCUAUCGCGAGGGGAGAACCUGGCGCUCCCCCGCUCCGACGCAAGGCGACCCGCCGCCGCAGCCCCGGAAGCGCAUCCUCGGCUUCGCGGGCCUUCCUGUUCCCAGCAGCGCCCGGCUCCGGGCGUUUCUUCGCUCUCCCACGGUCCGCGCCCGCCCUGCCCCAGCCGAGGGCACCCGCGCGGCCAGGGCCGCAGCUGGGAGCCCCGCGCCUCUCGGACGGCCGCGCGACUCGGUGACCACCUCGGAGGCCUCAGUGUGAGUCUCCGGAAAAUGCGGGUAGUCCCGCCGCCCUCCGUGUACUUGGGACCCUCGUGCAGUCCGGCCUUGGCCGUGAUUAGGGACCUCGGCCCCCGACAGCCCCGCCUUGCCUUCCCGUCUCCAGAGUCACUGCAGUCUCUGUCUCUGGGCUCCGAGUGGGAACCUCUGAGAAAGGCGGAAUCCGGGAGGUGGGGUCACAGAUCGCAGGCCCUUCUAGGAUGAGAAGCCCCCAGUGGGAAUCCAGGGCUGCAAAAAGGGAGGCGAGGAGGGGAUCUGAAAGGAUUGGACCAGCAGGGCUGUGGCCUGGAAGAGGUCGUGGCGGGCGGGUGGGGCUGGCCUGGCUUGGGCUCUUUCUUCCUCCCUUCCUCCCCAGUUUACGAGGCCUCACCUUCGGGAAACUCCCAUUAAGGGGACGUCGAAGGGCUGAGUCUUCCAACACUUUGGCCUUUUGUUCUACCUGUCAAAAGGAAAAAAAGACCCCGAAGUUAAGAAAUGGACCAACUGUGGAUUCUGCCUAUUGCCUUGUAGCUCGAGAAAAGUCACUGGAAGCACCAGUUUAAAAUCAAGCCUUGCGCCCUGGUGUGUGGCCUAUAACCUCCAUCUGACAUAUAACCUGCUUCCAUGUUAAGUGGAUCAAUCACACGCUUUUCUGGGAAAGCAGUCUCGAUAUUCCACCUAACAUCCUCAGGUAGAUCCUUAGGAUUUCCUUCUUAGGUGUAUUAUUAUUAUUACUAUUUUUAAGGGUUAGCCCAGCCUAGUCUCUCAGAUCACAUUGCUCCAGGUUCCUUCAAAUGACUGAUAUGAAUGUGAUGUUUUUAUGGCCUUAAGAAAAGAAAGAGCAACCCUUACCUAAUGAACUGUUUUCUUUUCUUUCUUGUUUUUUUUUUUUUUAAACAGGCCACUUGUAUAGGCAUUUGCUUUCCCAGCCCUGUUACUCCUCCAUUUUCAUACCUUCGCUAGAAGAACCAUGGUUUUAUCAUCUUGUAGGUUCCCUUGUUAGCAAGAUAAUAAGCUUGGGCAUGUGCUCAAUAGAAAUUUGUCUGAGACAUUUUUAUUUAUAGUCCCCUCUAUACCACUCAGAAAUACAAGUGAGUUAGUGUGGUGCCCUGAAAGGAGACAGGAGUCUUGGGGCCCAGGAGAUGACAGGGAUUUGUCCUCUCCAUCUUUCUCUAAUGCCAAUGGGCAGGAGUACUCUAGCUGGGAAGCUGAAUGUGCCCCAAGCCAACUGCUUGCAGAUGAGUGACAGUGUUUGGAAGCCUAUGGCUCUCGCCUUCUCUUCAAACCAGGUGCAUUCUGCAAGAUGCAGCAGCUGCCUACCCUUUUAGACACUCUGCCCUUUCUCACCGUCCUCCACUACCCCUCCCUCACUUAACCCCAAAUGGAAGCUCAGGCUGUCUGCCUUGUCUGAUAUUUCCUUUGGAAGAUGGAGAACAAAUACGCCCUGGGCAGUGACUGGCACUGUGUGACGUCUUGCUCCUGUAGCACACUGCACCUUGCAUAUGAUCUUUUAUUUUAUUUUUUUACUAUAGCCUUUAUUCUCUCUUUCCUAAGCUUGAUGUUAGUAACCUUCCAGGUCUUCCCUCCAACCCUGAGGCACUAUCUCACCAUAAGUAAGCAGAGGGUGGCCUUCUGACUUUGGGGUGGGAUUGAGACUAGAACCAAGUUAGAACUAUCUGCCAGAAACCCAGUUCAGUAACAGUCAAAGGAGCGAAAGGAUGCUGCUAAAAUGUGCCUUAGAGGGUGGGGGUGUAUUGGAUGAGUUUGGAUUUGGUUCAUGGACACUGGAGAUAGACUCACAAUGAAAGAGAAAGAAACAUGGGAAAAAGAUUAUGAGAGCUGGGGAAAACCUCAAAAUUAAUUUAAUCCACGGUGUGUCGUAGGUCACUAAGAUUUUUACACUCUUCCCUCCUGUAUGAGUCUGCUAGGGCUGCCAUAACAGAAUACCACAGACUGCAUAUCUUAAACGACAGAAAUUUAUUUUCUCACAGUUCUGGAGGCUAGAAGUUCAAGAUCAAGGUGUCGGCAGGUUUGCUUUCUUCCGAGGCCUUUCUCCUUGGCUUUCAGGUGGCCACCUUCCUGCUGUGUCCUCACAUGAUUCUCCCUCAGUUUGUGUUGUCUGUGUCCUAAUCUCCUCUUCUUCUAAGGACACAAGAAAUAUUGAAUUAGGAUCCACCCAUAUGACUUCAUUUUACUUUAAUUAUCUCUUUAAAGGCCCUACCUCCAAAUACAGUCACAGACUGAGGUACUGGGCAUUAGGACUUCAACCUGUGAAUCCAGCGGGGGGACUAAAAUUCAGCUUAUUUCUGAGGACAGAGAUCAAUGUAUUAUGUACAUUAUUGACACAGUUUGGGGAAUUCCCAGAAGUUAACCCCACAGAAUAUUUUGGCACAUCUCCCCAUCUACUCAGUAUUUGCAUAUUUCUAUUGCAGAAGAGACAUUUGGUUUUUAUUUCACUGUUUUUUGUAAACUAUUUCUGCCAGUUAAUUUAACUUCAUAGGUCUUUUUCAAAUGAAAAAUAUGCAAGUCUUCAUUAGCUGACAACAGCAUUUUAAGAAAAGGAUGGAGCAGGUAUUUCCUCUCCCCUGAGGCUGCUGAAGGAGAGAUACCUUUCCACAUUCUAAAACAAGCAGUCUGGUUAAAUGAAGAGUUAAACUGAGAACUUUCACAAGAAUUUCAGUCCAGUUCUUUGCAAUAAGAAGAUGAGUGAUUCAGAACUUUCGCUAACUUGUUCUCUUCUCUGUUUAAUAUAAUUUUGUCCUUGGAAGUGUUAUUUUUAACAAAGGGGAAUUGUUAGAUUCCUAAAAGUUUAAAAAUUGUUGCCGUGUCUUGGCAGUAUCUGUAUCUGUACCUCAGUAUCUGUCUUGAUAAUUUCUUGUCCUGGUGAUACCAUGGAAAGUCCUAUCUCUGUAUUCCCAAAAGUUAUAAAAUUACUUAGAAGAUUUAUCUGCCAGUUAAUAAUUUUCUUUCACAUGCAUGAUUUAAUAUGUGUGAUCCUAUGACUUCUAUAUUUUAUUAGCUAACAAAUUCUUUCUUUUUUUAUUCUUAAAAUAUCUUUUUUUACAUUAAUAGACUUUACUUUUUAGAGCACUUUUAAAUUUAUAGAAGAGUUGAGUGGAAAGUACAGAGAGUUCCUGUAUGCUUCUUCUUCCUCUACUUCCAUUUCUUCUAUUAUUAACAACUUGCAUUGUUAUGGUACAUUUGUUAGAAUUGCUCAGCCAAUAUUUACACAUUAUUAUUAACUAAAGUCCGUAGUUUGCAUUAGGGUUCACUCUGUAUACAGUUCUGUGAGUUUUGCUAAAUGCAUAAUGUCAUGUAACCACAUAUGUAUUGCAUACAUAGAGCAUACAGAAUAGUUUCAUUGCCCUAAGCAAUCCCCUAUACUCAACCUCAAAUAAUUUCUUUUACAUUAACACCACUGUGUGGUAAGAGCCCCUCCCUCGCCAACCCUCCUUGAGCUUGAUGGAAACAAAAUGACCUUUUAUCCCAACAGCCCUUUUUCAUUAUUUGUGUAUGUGUCUCCUACAUUUGUAAGGUCUCUGGAGAGUCAGCCACCUGGUGUCCUGAUAAACUUCCUAAAGGUGAGUCUCAAGGAACUAACCCAUAUUCAUAGACUCAGAUACAGCAUCCAGCUAGUGGCCUGUUUUCCUUGAAUUUAUCUUUAUUGUCACCUGCUGUGUUUUGGCCUUUGACAUGUGGCACUCAUGGCUCCCUGCUUGGGAUGGACUGCAAGGGAUCUAACAGGAAGAAGACUGAGUCUAGGAAACAGACUGUGAGCCUUCCCAUACUGGGACGUGGGCUAAGAAACACAGUUUUGGAGUGGAAUGGAAGGAGAGUGGUAUGAAGUAUCCAUUCUUUAGGGAAGUGUGUCCUAGAGCAAAGGCUCACCUUUCGGUUUCCUUUUUCACUCUCUGGUAACAAAAAGCCCUCUGAGAAUAUAUGCAGAAUAUUUAGGAUGACCUUAUCAUUUAUUGUCCAAAUCGGCAUACUUUGAGAGGGAAAGGGAGCAUUAUUACUAAUUAUACUGGGGCGACAGGUGCCAACCAAGUCAUGCUAAUGCUAGGCCAAGUGAUUUUCAUGCCAUAACAUCUCUCUCAACAUUUCUUCCUUCAUUGUAAGAACAGCUGUCUUUGCCUCCCUCUUCCUUUCUGGGCACACCAUUACCAUACCCCAAAUUGACCUGUGUGAUCUCUGGCAUCCUUCUCCUUCAUUUUAUUUAAAAAUUAUUUUUCUUUAUUAUGUCCAACUUUGGAUUUUUUUUUUUAAUUUUGUUGUCUAAGAAUUGUUCAAGCAUUUCUUUAGUGGUGCAUUGGGGAGGGAGGAAAAGGGGACUGCAGUUAGGCCUAAAUGCAUGUGAUGUCCAGGGAAAGAUGUCUUCAGGAGCGAGCGGGUCGGGUCUAGCUGGAUCAGUAGAACUGCAGUGUGUCUCCCUGACAACAGGGACUUUUUGGCCCAUCACUGAUUUAGAAUACGGUAUUUAGAGGCAAGGGGAGAGCACAGUAAGGGAAGAGAAGUGUCCAGCUAAUUUCACAUUAGCUUUUCAGUGAAUCGCUGUUCAACAUGAGAAUGGAACGGUUUGUUCUCAGUUUAAUCCCUGGUCCCAAAGUUGCUUAUAAGGUACCAAGGGACAUAAUGACUGAUUCAAGGCACACUCCCACUUUGAUUCUUCCUUCUUCUUUUCAUUUCUCCCUCUCUUCCACAAGAAUGAAGGAAAAGUACAAAAUUUCCAGAAAUUCUAGUCAUAGUGAAAAAAUAGGGAGAAAAAUGGAUAAUUUGGUGUUUUAGCACCAUUUAUAGGUGGUCACUUUUGUUAGCCAAGGAACAUAAAAAUCAAAUCUAAGUUUGCUCAAAGAUCAUGUUUGUCCACUAUAUCUAGAUGGUGAGGUCUAGCAAAAAAACAACUCUGGAGCAAUUUAGAGACAAGAUAAUAAUUUUUUUUUCUUAAAAUAAAACAUUAUGGAGUAGGGCAGGGCAUAGGGUUACAUAAAUCCCCAGGAAAUGUUUUCAAAGGUGGAACAGAGUAGCUAGUCUUGGUCUAAAGCUUUAAAAAAGUCAUACAGUGCUUGUGAAUGCUGGCCAUUAGGUCCGGGACCUAAUUACCCAAACUCAAAAUAAAUAACUUUCUCUUCUAUGUGGCCCUGAAUCUGUGCUUUGUGCUACCCACUUUUUAAAAAUAGUUUUUGUUAAUUCUUGAGUAGACACAUAAAAUUUCUCUGUGUAAAAUAUAGAGAAUAAUGGUACGCCAGCCAUGUGCCUCUCCCUCUGCACCCCCUCUAUCCUCAGUUUAAGGAAGAAAAUGCCACCCCCACUCGCUUGUCUCUGGACUAACCCUCAUGUCCUCUCCAACCUCCGUCCCCCUCUCAACCUCCUCUGGGGUGACUGCUGUCCUGAUUUUUAUAUUUAGGCUUUUUUUAGUUUUACUACAUGCUUGUGGCCUAAGCAUGUCAUUUAGUUUUACACUUAUAAAUGGAUCUAUACAUAUUUUGCAACUUGCUUUUUUUGCUCAACAUUAUGUUCUUGAGAUUCAUCCAUGUUUUUGCCUGUACGUAGCUGUAAUCUGUUUAUUUCUGCUAUUGAAUAGUAUCCCUUUGCAUAGAUUUCACCAAAAUGUAUUUAUCUAUUUUAUUACUGAAGGACACUGGGUGGUUUCCAGUUUCAGUUUUUUGAAAUUACAGAGUUUUUCUAUAAACAUUUUUGUAGGGGGUCUCCUGUGUACACCUCUAAGAAUUCCUCUAGCUAAACACCUACAAGUGAAAUUGGUUUAGAUAAUGCCACAUUGUUUUCCAAAGUGAACACACUAAUUUACACACAUAAACACACACCCCAGCAGUGUAUAAACGUUUUAAUUGUUUCACAUCUGCUUAGCCCUUGAUAUUGUCAGACAAUUUAGUUUUCACCAAUUUGAUGGGUGUGAAAUGUUAUAUUCUGUGACUUUAAUAUGGAUUUCCCAUAUUACUAAUGAGGUUGAGCAUAUUUUUAUGUGCCUAUUCACCAUUCAUGCUUCUUCUAAGAAGUACUUGUUAAUGCUUUUGUCCAUUGUUUUUGAAUUUUUAUUUUGUAGGAAUUCUUUACAUAUUCUAGAUUCUAAUCGUUUGUCAGUUAUAUGCAUUAUGAAAAUCUUUGCUUAGCUUAUGACUUUUUACUUUUUUAUGCUAUCUUCUUGUUUUUUUUAAAGAUGGGCACCUGACCUAACAACUGUUGCCAAUCUUCUUUUUUUUUUCUCCCCAAAUCCUCCCAGUACAUACUUGUAUAUUUUAGUCGUGGGUCCUUCUAGUUGUGGCAUGUGGGAUGCUGCCUCAGUGUGGCCUCAGCAGUGCCAUGUCCACACCCAGGAUCCGAACCAGUGAAACCCUGGGCUGCCGAACCAGAGUGCGCAAACUUAACCACUCGGCCAUGGGGCUGGACCCUAUGCUGUCUUUUUGAUAUACACAAAUUAUUGAUUUUAAUAUAGUUAAAUUUGAAUUUUAAUGUAGUUAAAUUUGUCAUUUCCCUUUAUGGUUUAUACUUUUUGUGUCUUGUUAAAGAAAUCUUUCUAGGAGCAGUGUGAGGAGGACAGACGAGCCCUCUGGACUGGCAAGGCCACCGGCCAAGUACUGCUGCCACCAUGCCCAAGAGAAAGGCAAAAGGAGAUGCUAAAGGUGACAAAGCAAAGGUGAAGGAUGAGCCACAGAGGAGAUCAGCACGGUUGUCCGCUAAACCUGCCCCCCCAAAACCAGAGCCCAGGCCUAAAAAGGCCCCUGCAAAGAAGGGAGAGAAGCUACCCAAAGGGAGAAAGGGGAAAGCAGAUAGUGGCAAGGAUGGGAACAACCCUGCGAAAAACCGAGAUGCCACCACAGUCCAGUCACAGAAAGCGGAAGGCAGCGGGGAUGCCAAGUGAAGUGUGCUAUUUUGAUAGCUCUGUACUUGUAGUGACUCUGCUGUUUGAAAUACUGUUUUUUUUUAAAUCAACUUUUAUAAAAAUGUAGAAUUUUGUUUUUCUUUUUAAGUUAUAUUGUUAGCACACAGGACACUUUGUUGUCUUUUGUGGAAAGGGCAAAUACCACUAACAGAGUGUUUCAGAAGCUGGAUUAAAAUGGAGGAAAAUAGUAUUUUCUGUCCUCAUUUUUGAAGAUUAUUCUUGGUCCCUGGGAGAGAUUCUCUGACAUUCACACACGAGUCAGUCACUUUGGCUCAGACGCCUUACAGUGUGUGGAAGCAAAACUUCAUGUCUUUGCCUUUCCUGAUACCAUCAGCAUAUAUUUGACUUUCUGAACCCAAGAGUUAUGGUUUCAGAAAACCAGCAUCCCUAAAAUCAGCUGUGUUGGGUAAUAAUCCUCAGGCCUUCUGAUGAAGACAUCGACAUGGUGUUGCUCAAAAGAGCCAAGAUUCCUGUUUGCAAUUUGUGGAUCAUCCCAUUGAUAAUCCUGGAGUUUGUAGUUUUCUCCAAGUCAGAAAUGACCUGUGAAAAGCUCUUACAUGCCUCAUGUGAAAUAUCCACCCCUUCUGACAACUUUGCCUGUUCAAAGCAGGAACAGAAGACUUUGUUGACUUUUUGGGGAGGGGUGUUUGGAAGUUGUAAAAUGUUAUGGAUUGUCACCUAUGUCCUGCUGGAAAUAACUGUUUUUGAAAAGUAUCUUAUGGAGCUGUAUACAAGUUGGCUUGGUGGUAGGGGGGUAUCAUUUCCUACCCAAAGUCAUAAAGAUAUUCUUUACUGCCUUGUAAAAGUUUUACAGUUUUGCUUUUCAUACGUCUUUAGUCUUUAGAACUGGUUUUUGUGAAAAGUAUGAGAUAGAAGUUCAAUAUAAUAUAUUUUCCAUAUAGAUAAGUGGUUGUUGCAGCACCAUUUUCUGAAAAGUUCAUCCUUUCCUCACUGACCUGUAACACUGUCUCUUUCAUAAAUCAAGUUUGUGUGUUUGUGUGGGUCUCUUGAUGGUUUCUGUUCUGACUCACUGGUCAAUUUGUCUAACCUGUGGCAGUACUAUACAAUCGUGAGUAUGACAACUUUAGAAAAAGGUCUUGAUAUCUCAGGACAAAUCCCACCUCCACCUCCAACAUCAUCACCAAAUUUUUCUUCCUUGAGAGUAUCUUGGCUAUUUUUAGCCAUUUGCUUUUCCAUACAAUUUCUAGAAUUAGAUUGAGAAGUUCUAAAUCAAACAAAAAAAAAUGUUGGAAUUUUUAUUAGAUUUAUGGAUUAAUUACAGUGUUGAAUCUUCCAAUCCAUGAACAUGGUAUAGCAUUUAUUUAGGCUUUUUAAAUGUCUUUCAAUAAAGUUUUAUAAUUUUCUCCAUAAAUGUCUUCUUUUGUUAAUAUUUCCUGGGGACUUUAUACCUUUUGAUGCUCUUUUAUGUGGUAUAUUUUAGUUACUACAUUUUCUGGUUUUAGCUAAAGUUGAUUUUUGUAUCCAGCAACCUUGCUAAAUUCUCAAUUCUUAUAUGUCUGUAUACUUCUUUGGGUUUUCUGCCUAGAUAACCAUAUAUUCUGUGUAUGCAAACAAUUUUUUUUCCUCACAGUCCUUAUGUGUCCUUUUCCUUUUUCUAAAGUGAGGCAUUGUCCAAGUGCUGAGGGUACAGCAGUGAACAAAACAGUCUCUGUUUUCACAAAGCUUAUCUUCUAGUUGGGGGAGGGUAGAAAACACACAAGUUUAUGUGACAAGGGGCCUUAAGUAAACAAGUGUAAGUGAGUGCUAUUUAAAUAGGGUAGUUAAGAAAGUCCUCUCUGAUGAGAUUUGAGCAGAACACUUAAUGAAGUAAAAGAAAAAGAGAUGUGAAUAUGAGAGGAAAGCAUUCCAGCAAAGGGAAUAGCAAAUGCAAAGAGAUGAGGUGAAAAUGUGUUUGGCACUCAGAGGAAGAAUGAGCAGAUGUGGCUGAAUUGGAGUGAUGGUAAGUAAGAGUGAUAGCUGAUAGCUCCAGGCUGUAAUUUUUCUCUGAAAGUGAUGGGAUACCAUUAGAGUUUUGAACAGAGAAAUGAUGCAAUCUAAGUUAGUGUAUGUGUUUGGCUGAUGAAAUGAGCAACACGCUGAAAGUGGAGAAGAAUUGAAGGAGGAAGAC
ensembl:lncRNA